CAUUCCUAUGUCCGCCGAAGGUUCUUUCUGAACAAGCGAAGAAACAGUUGCAACGACAUGAAUGGUUGGCUUUCUCUAACAGAACUUGGUUAUUGUUCUUGGGAACAGGAACAGAAGUAUCCAGGCAUAUAUUUUAGUCCUAAAAAAACACAAACUAAUUGGAAUCAUGCUACAACAGCAGACGAAUUGACAAUAUCGUUGGUAUUAAAUAUAUCUGAAAUUACGCCCAGCUGUCAUUGUCCUUGUUCUGAUUUAAGACAGCAAACUGACAAGUUUUGGGCAUCUUUGUAUGGUUAUUCCAAAUCGGAAUUAGAGCAAAUCCUCGAACCGAUACUUUUGAAGACAAAAGAUGACUUGAAGUUAAACAAAACAAAACUAUCAUCGUACAAACGAAAAAGGAAUAGUGCCCAAGAUAGAAGGAAAUCUUCAGAGCAGAUUGGAAUCAUGGGAGUGAUUUUUAUCGGUGUUGUUCUAAGUUUAGUCAUCCUUAUUGAUAUUGUAGAAAUUAGGCGACGUCUAGCUGGCAUUAACAUUUCUAUUUAAAACGACACUUAAAACAAUACGCACAUAUUUUUAAUGAAAAUCCUAUUGUUAUAAGAUUUAUGAACUUUCAGCUAGCUCACAUAUUAUAAAAAAAAAAUCAGUUAAAUAUGAUUUUUAGGUCAUAUUUUAGUUGAUUCGCUAUUUUUAAGUUUGUUUGUUUGAGGGUCAGUUUUAGCAAUUAUCUUGAAUUGGCAAUCCUCAUUAACCUUUAUAGGAAAGGCAUUACGCGAACUGUGUUUCUCCAUUGUGACUGUGGCUGUUAGUGUUAGUUAAAUGGCAAUAUUCCAUUUAUCAGUAAAAUAACGAAAAAUAAAAUAAUUUCCUGGUGCUUUUCCUUGAUUUUGAAGAAAUGAAUGUUCAAGGUUUGAAAAAUACCAUGAUGGUUUGACAAAGAUUGAAGAAGACCAACUCUUCCAAAGAUCCGCUAAAAAUAAGAUGCUCCGAAAUUGUCUGAAUCAAAUGAAAUUUAUGCUCAAGCAUUUUCAAUUUUCAGUCUAUGUUGGAAUAUGUAAUUGUCCUUUAUCUUAUCAAUUUCGAACAAAUUCCAUUACAAUGUAAUGAUCUUUAAAUAUAGUUAUACAAAGCCGGACACUGCAGGUAGAAUCGAAAUCAUUCCUACAAUUAGCCGCCCGAGGAUCAAUAUGUGCGAACUUCAGACCUCUUGAAAAAUUGACAAUGCAGAUGACAAAUUGACAAAGAUCAAAUUAAGUUUUUCCAUUUCAUUUUUAUUUUAUUGCGAAUAUGUUGAUAUGUUUUAUAUUUAUAACUUGUUCUCUUCCGGCACGAAAAGGGAAACAGUGAUCUUGAUUUUUCCACAAUGAUGCGUGUAAAUACAAAUACGCCAAUUAGACGAGACUAACAUUAAUUACAUAUUUGUAUAUGUACUGGUGAAACCUGUUUCAUAAGCAUAACAUUGUGUCAUUUAUUCACUAAUCCCUGUUUUCCUCCUUGUGUAACAUCUGUUUCAA